GGAGGGAUGGCUGAGUUGGUUUAAGGCGCUCGAUUCGAAAUCGAGUGUAGGUUUAUAGCUUACCGUGGGUUCAAGCGCACAAUGCUCGUGUAUCACGAGUUUUCCUCCCUCAAGUUUCCGGAGGAGGAAACUUGCAUGCCGGCACAGCCCGAGCGGCGAGGGCAAUCCCACUCCCUCUG
rnacentral:tRNA from 1 species